AUGGCUCCUACUUUCUACUGUAACUACUGCGAUGUCUACUAUACGGAAAACUACGCCCACGAUUCGAGCGUGGAUCAUAUAUCGAACCUUUUCGAAUCCGAUUUAACCGUGGAGGAUCUUACGGUUAAAUCCUUCUUCUUCAAAAACGAGGACCCUCAACUCACCGAUCUCUCCGAAUUUUUCUCGUUAAAAAAAUCCGAAAUUGUAGAUAAGCUUAGAUUUAUAGUAGAUAAUUAUAGCGAGGUAAAAAUUAAAAUUAAUAGCUACAUGAUUAAGACUGAUUCGAGUAAAGAUGAAAAGAGAGGGCUUAGUAUCGUGACGAAAUACGUCAAUAGCCCUCCGAUUUCCGAUCUCGAAUCAGUGUUCGAUCACUUUGUAAGUAAAAAUUUAGAAAUGAAGGAAGUCUUGUCCCCGCAGCCUCUUCCAGCGGAGCCAGCAACCUCGUUAAACGAGGAUGACGUCAUCGGUGAUGAGGAGGAGGUAUCAGCGGUGGCGGGGGCGGGAGCGGUGCUGGUGACACUGCUCGGCGUCGAAGUUCGGUUUUUAGAGGGUAAAUUCGCACGUUUUUGCGAGAUUUGCGAUGAUUUUUACCUGAAAACCACUCGGCACAACCGCACGUACGAUCACCUCAGGAAUUUGUUCGGGUCCGACGAGCAAGUUCGCGAAAUGCCUGCCGCCGCGGGGGCCAACUUCGGACUUUCUUCAUUAAAAACACCGACCCGAGUAUUUUGGAUACGGAUCUGCACUUGAAAAAUAUCAAAUUAAUUAUUGUUCAAAUUUUAAAAGACACACUAUCCCAACUUCAAGCAAUAAAAUCCAAUAUACUCGUCCAUUCUGAAUACAUUUUACCGAAAGAGGGGGAAAUUCAGGGGGUCUCGUUCAAAACAAAAAAUUUCAAUAUUUAUCACGAAGCCGAUUGCCAAAACACUUACUUGCUAUUCGAAACCAGUAUUAAAAAAGAAAGUGCAGAUUUUGUUCUGAAGGGCUCGGGCUGGACCAUUAGUAAAAUUAUAGGCUCCGAGCUGAGAGUGAAUAAAUUCAAUGUUGCCGGAUCUAGCGGCUCUAGUUAUUUACCUUUACCUAUAAGCUCUAGUUAUAUAGUAAAUUGUAAAA
rnacentral:lncRNA from 1 species